UGGCCAUAUUGGACCACGUUUGUUUUUGUCUCCGGUCAGACUAGCGUGCCAUGUACGUUUGGGAAAAAAAGGAGACUAGUACGCCAUGGAAAAAAUAGCAAAAGGUCAUCUUUGAAUAGACCCUUGUAUAGAGACCAAAUCUUCAACACCUCUCUCUAUCAGACCCCAGUUGCUGACUUGUCCUUUUCCUGCCCUCUCAAAGUCUUUAUAAACAUUGUAUUCUUAAGUUCUCAUCUUACC
rnacentral:lncRNA from 1 species